rnacentral:rRNA from 1 species
AUGGCAGCAAAGGGCCAGAACGCUACCAUGGUAGCGAGACCGGCCCAAGAUGGCUACAUGGCAAGGAGGAUCUCCAGCAGGCCCAAGCGAAUCGUCCAGCCCAACAGAAGAAGGAUCAGGCAAAGGAACGGCGGCUCUCCUCUCUCACCUACUUCCCCCUUUCCUUUCUUCCUUAGCAAGAACACCCAUGUGCGAGCCCAGCAGGAGGUGAAAGAGGAGGAGCCCGCGGCGACGGUGCGGCCGCUGCAGGAGGAGCAGGACCUCGUCGACCACGAGGGAGCUCCACUGUCGGAGUACACGCUUCGUCUGAUCGGCUCUGAUCUUGAGCACUACAUCCGCAAGCUGCUCGACGACGGGGAGAUUAAGUACAACAUGAGGUACAGGGUGCUCAAUUUCAGCAUGGGCAAACCCCGCGUCAAAUUCAACAGCAGCCAGAUCCCAGAUAUAAUCUCAUUCCAUGGAAGGAAUAAUCUUGUAAAGUUUGAAAUCAUCACUCCAUGGCCUGAAUUGGUCCUCAUUCGUAAUAUUCUACAGAGGAAGAGAUGGCCACUGGUCAGCGGGGAUUUCGGCGACUGCCCAAAGAAAAUGGUCAGGAGGACACCUUCACUUCAGCAGACGGGGUUCUCCUCGCAGAUCCAGCUUGCCCUAUGGCGAGCACAGAAGCAACGGAAUAUAAAAAGCAAUCAGACCCUGGAGGUGCCGCCGCUGUUCCCCUGCCCGGUUAGCCGCCAGACGGCGCGCCGUUCCCCCCUGCCCAGAUCCUCCGCCCUUCUGCCCCUCCGCCCCUCUGCUCCGAAAUCGACGCCGACCUCCACCGCCCGCCCGCCCAUCUGCUCCCUCCGGCACCUCCUCCUCCGUGCAGCCCGGCGCGGCCAGAUUGAGGCGGCGGCCGCAAGGGGCCUGGACCUGGCCGGCCCGCUCCGCGACCUCCUCCCGCCGGUGGACUUCUGCUGCGCGUACAGCUCCACCCUCACCCACGCCCGCCCCGACGGCACCUCCAUGGUCGAGUACAUCCUCGGCGUCGCCGACCCCCUCCAGUGGCACUCCGAGGUAGGCUAG